rnacentral:rRNA from 1 species
GGAUAGGGGUGAAAGGCCAAUCAAACCCGGAGAUAUCUCGUUCUCCCCGAAAUAGCUUUAGGGCUAGCGUCGCGCGUUCACCGCCGGAGGUAGAGCACCGGAUGGACGAGGGGGCUUCGCCGCCUACCGAAUCCAACCGAACUCCGAAUGCCGGCGGCCCAGAGCGCGGCAGUCAGAGCAUGUGGGCUAAGCUGUGUGCUCGAGAGGGAAACAGCCCGGACCGCCCGCUAAGGUCCCCAAGUUCCAGCCGAGUGGCAAAGGAUGUGCGUCCGCCCAGACAACCAGGAUGUUGGCUUAGAAGCAGCCAUCCAUUCAAAGAGUGCGUAACAGCUCACUGGUCGAGUGGACAUGCGCCGACAAUACACGGGGCUAAGCUGGACACCGAAGCGGCGGGAUUUUAUCUAUAGAAUCGGUAGGGGAGCUUCCCAUGGGCGGAGAAGCCGGAGGGCGACCGACGGUGGAGCGCAUGGGAGUGAGAAUGCUGGCAUGAGUAGCGAGAGACGAGAGAGUAACUCGUCCGCCGUGAACCCGAGGUUUCCUGGGCAAGGCUAAUCCUCCCAGGGUCAGUCGGGGGCUAAGGCGAGGCCGGGAGGCGUAGCCGACGCGCAGCAGGCAGACAUUCCUGCACCGCGCACGCGGCGCUACGACCGACGGGGCGACGGAUGGGGGUGGCUCGGCGGGGUUCUGGACGUCCCCGUGAUGGAGCGCGGCCCGCGGACCAGGGAAAUCCGGUCCGCAUCGAGGGCGAGGCUCCGGACGAAGCACUUAAGCGAAGCGAGUGAGCCCGAGGUCCCUAGAAAAACCCCUAGGCAGGCGCGUGCGCGCCCGUACCGCAAACCGACACAGGUGGGUGGGUAGAACAUACCGAGGCGAUCGGGUCAACCAUGGUCAAGGAACUCGGCACAAUGGCCCCGUAACUUCGGGAGAAGGGGUGCCCGCGCGUACGUGAACGGACUUGCUCCGGGAGCGGAGGCGGGCCGCAGUGGAGAGGCCCAAGCGACUGUUUACCAAAAACACAGGACUCUGCAGAAGCCGCAAGGCGACGUAUAGGGUCUGACGCCUGCCCGGUGCCGGAAGGUCACGCGGAGGAGUUAGCCGCAAGGCGAAGCCCCGAAGCCAAGCCCCGGUAAACGGCGGCCGUAACUAUAACGGUCCUAAGGUAGCGAAAUUCCUUGUCGGGUAAGUUCCGACCUGCACGAAAGGCGCAACGACUUGGGCGCUGUCUCGACCAUGGACCCGGUGAAAUUGCACUGGUCGUGAAGAUGCGACUUACCCGCGGAAGGACGGAAAGACCCCGUGAACCUUCACUGCAGCUUGGCAUUGGCCGCUGGUCCCGCGUGUAGAGGAUAGGCAGGAGGCGAAGAUCCGGAGGCGCCAGCCCCCGGGGAGCCGCCCUUGGAAUACUGCCCUCGCGCGACCGGCGUCCUAACCCGAGGCCGUCAACCGGCUCGGGGACCGUGCCAGGCGGGCAGUUUGACUGGGGCGGUCGCCUCCUAAAGGGUAACGGAGGCGCGCGAAGGUCCGCUCGGGACGGUCGGCAACCGUCCUUUUGAAUGCAAGAGUACAAGCGGGCUUGACUGCGAGGCCCACAAGCCGAGCAGGUGCGAAAGCAGGCUCUAGUGAUCCGGCGGCCCCGAGUGGGUGGGCCGUCGCUCAACGGAUAAAAGGUACUCCGGGGAUAACAGGCUGAUCUUGCCCAAGAGUCCACAUCGACGGCAAGGUUUGGCACCUCGAUGUCGGCUCAUCGCAUCCUGGGGCCGGAGCAGGUCCCAAGGGUACGGCUGUUCGCCGUUUAAAGCGGUACGCGAGCUGGGUUCAGAACGUCGUGAGACAGUUCGGUCCCUAUCCUCCGUGGGCG